UCCUAACUUUUUUUUCAGAUUCAGAUGGAUUAAAUGUGUGCCAGAGGGCCCCAUCCCGAGUGAGGGGUUUCCCCCGUGCAGGAAGUAAAUGUGGAUACCAGCAGUCAAGGCAAUCCACUCGGAGUAUGCCAAGCCCCCGUCACCAGCCAGCC